rnacentral:rRNA from 1 species
GACGAACGCUGGCGGCGUGCCUAAUACAUGCAAGUUGAGCGCUGAAGGUUGGUACUUGUACCAACUGGAUGAGCAGCGAACGGGUGAGUAACGCAUGGGGAAUCUGCCUUUGAGCGGGGGACAACAUUUGGAAACGAAUGCUAAUACCGCAUAAAACCUUUAAACACAAGUUUUAAGUUUGAAAGAUGCAAUUGCAUCACUCAAAGAUGAUCCCGCGUUGUAUUAGCUAGUUGGUGAGGUAAAGGCUCACCAAGGCGAUGAUACAUAGCCGACCUGAGAGGGUGAUCGGCCACAUUGGGACUGAGACACGGCCCAAACUCCUACGGGAGGCAGCAGUAGGGAAUCCUCGGCAAUGGACGAAAGUCUGACCGAGCAACGCCGCGUGAGUGAAGAAGGUUUUCGGAUCGUAAAAAUCUGUUGGUAGAGAAGAACGUUGGUGAGAGUGGAAAGCUCAUAAAGUGACGGUAACUACCCAGAAAGGGAGGGCUAACUACGUG